rnacentral:rRNA from 1 species
CCUACGGGUGGCAGCAGUGGGGGAUAUUGCACAAUGGGGGGAACCCUGAUGCAGCGACGCCGCGUGGGUGAAGAAGCGCCUCGGCGCGUAAAGCCCUGUCAGCAGGGAAGAAAAUGACGGUAGCUGAAGAAGAAGCCCCGGCUAACUACGUGCCAGCAGCCGCGGUAAGACGUAGGGGGCGAGCGUUAUCCGGUUUUACUGGGUGUAAAGGGGGCGCAGACGGCGAUGAAGGCCAGGAGUGAAAGCCCGGGUCCCAACCCCGGUACUGCUCUUGGAACUGCGUGGCGGGAGUGCAGGAGGGGGAGGGGGAAUUCCGGGUGUAGCGGUGAAAUGAGUAGAUAUCAAGAGGAACACCGGUGGCGAAGGCGGCCUGCUAGACUGCAACUGACGUUGAGGCCCGAAAGCGUGGGGAGCAAACAGGAUUAGAUACCCCAGUAUC